CCGAAAAUGUAUCGGGGCUUAAGUUCACCACCGAAGCUGCGGAAUGAGAGAUUCUUCGGAGUCUUUUGUUGGUAGGGGAGCGUUCCAUAGUAGGUCGAAGGUAGACCGUAAGGUCUGCUGGACGAGAUGGAAGUGAUUAUGUCGGCAUGAGUAGCGAUAAGGCAGGUGAGAAUCCUGCCCACCAAAAAUCUAAGGUUUCCUGGGCCAGGCUCGUCCUCCUGGGGUUAGUCGGGACCUAAGCUGAGGCCGAAAGGCGUAGGCGAUGGAAAACAGGUUAAAUAUUCCUGUACCACCUGUAGCGCGUUCGAGCUAUGGGGUGACGCAGAAGUGAAAGGUCAGCCAGCGACUGGAAAUGCUGGUCCAAGCUUGUAGGAGGGCUGUCCAGGUAAAUCCGGACGGCCACCAACUCUGAGAGGCGAUGGGGAGCCGCUUAGCGGCAUAAACUGACCCUAAUCAUGCUGCCAAGAAAAACCUCUAUGUGAGUUCUGUAGGUGCCCGUACCGCAAACCAACACAGGUAGAUGAGGAGAGUAUCCAAAGGUGCGCGAGUGAACCCUCGUUAAGGAAUUCGGCAAAAUGAUCCCGUAACUUCGGAAGAUGGGAUGCCCUCAGUAGGUGAAGCCCCUCGCGGGUGGAGCCCAAAGGGGCCGCAGAGAAACGGGCUGGGCGACUGUUUACCAAAAACACAGGUCUCUGCUAAGCCGUAAGGCAAUGUAUAGGGACUGACACGUGCCCGGUGCUGGUAAGUUAAGUGAGGAUGUUAGGUCCUUCGGGACCGAAGCGUCUGAUCGAAGCUCCAGUAAACGGCGGCCGUAACUAUAACGGUCCUAAGGUAGCGAAAUUCCUCGUCGGCUAAAAACCGACCUGCACGAAUCGUGUAACGACUUGGCCGCUGUCUCAACGAGGGACUCGGUGAAAUUGUAGUUCCGGUGAAGAUGCCGGAUACCCGCGGCAGGACAGAAAGACCCCGUGAACCUUUACUAUAGCUUGGUAUUGGAUUUUGACACUGCAUGUGUAGGAUAGGUGGGAGGCUUUGAAGUGGGGGCGCCAGUCUCCAUGGAGCCAACCUUGAAAUACCACCCUUGCCUUGUUAAGGUUCUAACCUUGGUCCCUUAUCGGGAUCGGGGACAGUGCCAGGUGGGUAGUUUAACUGGGGCGGUUGCCUCCUAAAAUGUAACGGAGGCGCCCAAUGGUUCCCUCAGCGCGGUCGGUAAUCGCGCGUAGAGUGUAAAGGCAUACAGGGAGCUUGACUGCGAGACCUACAAGUCGAGCAGGUGCGAAAGCAGGGCUUAGUGAUCCGACGGUUGCGCGUGGAAGCGCCGAAGCUCAACGGAUAAAAGGUACUCCGGGGAUAACAGGCUUAUUGCCCCCAAGCGCUCAUAGCGACGGGGCAGUUUGGCACCUCGAUGUCGGCUCAGCGUAUCCUGGGGCUGGAGAAGGUCCCAAGGGUUUGGCUGUUCGCCAAUUAAAACGCUACGCGAGCUGGGUUCAGAACGUCGUGAGACAGUUCGGUCCCUAUCCGCCGUGGGUGUAGGAUAUUUGAGGAGAUCUGACCCUAGUACGAGAGGACCGGGUUGGACGAACCUCUGGUCAACCAGUUGUUCCGCCAGGAGCAUCGCUGGGUAGCUACGUUCGGAAGGGAUAAACGCUGAAAGCAUCUAAGCGUCAAGCCCACUCCAAGACUAGAUAUCCCGUGGGGUUAACCCACCUGAAGGCCCCUCGUAGACUACGAGGUUGAUAGGUUGCAGGUGGAAGCGCAGCAAUGUGUGAAGCCGAGCAAUACUAAUUGGCCGUGAGGCUUGACC
rnacentral:rRNA from 1 species